UACGUAGGGUGCAAGCGUUAAUCGGAAUUACUGGGCGUAAAGCGUGCGCAGGCGGCUUUGCAAGACAGAUGUGAAAUCCCCGGGCUUAACCUGGGAACUGCAUUUGUGACUGCAAGGCUAGAGUACGGUAGAGGGGGAUGGAAUUCCGCGUGUAGCAGUGAAAUGCGUAGAUAUGCGGAGGAACACCGAUGGCGAAGGCAAUCCCCUGGACCUGUACUGACGCUCAAGCACGAAAGCGUGGGGAGCAAACAGG
rnacentral:rRNA from 1 species